rnacentral:tRNA from 1 species
GCCUGGCUGGCUCAGUCAAUAGAGCAUAUGACUCUUGAUCUGAGGGUUGUGAGUUCAAGCCUCAUGUUGAGUG